ACUCCUACGGGAGGCAGCAGUAGGGAAUCUUCCGCAAUGGACGAAAGUCUGACGGAGCAACGCCGCGUGAGCGAUGAAGGCCUUCGGGUCGUAAAGCUCUGUUGUUAGGGAAGAACAAGUACCGGAGUAACUGCCGGUACCUUGACGGUACCUAACCAGAAAGCCACGGCUAACUACGUGCCAGCAGCCGCGGUAAUACGUAGGUGGCAAGCGUUGUCCGGAAUUAUUGGGCGUAAAGCGCGCGCAGGCGGUCCUUUAAGUCUGAUGUGAAAGCCCACGGCUCAACCGUGGAGGGUCAUUGGAACUGGGGACUUGAGUGCAGAAGAGGAGAGUGGAAUUCCACGUGUAGCGGUGAAAUGCGUAGAGAUGUGGAGGAACACCAGUGGCGAAGGCGACUCUCUGGUCUGUAAACUGACGCUGAGGGCGCGAAAGCGUGGGGAGCGAACAGGAUUAGAUACCCU
rnacentral:rRNA from 1 species